rnacentral:rRNA from 1 species
GAUGAACGCUGGCGGCGUGCCUAAUACAUGCAAGUCGAGCGAACAGACUAGUAUCUUUCUCCUCUUACUUUAUCUGCGUACGUGUGAUUAACACUUGGAUAACCUACCUAUAAGACUGGUAUAACUUCGUGAAACCGGAGCUAAUACCGGAUAAUAUAUUGAACCGCAUGGUUCAAUAGUUAAAUACGGUUUUGCUGUCCCUUAUAGAUGGAUCCGCGCCGCAUUAGCUAUUUGGUAAGGUAACGGCUUACCAAGGCAACGAUGCGUAGCCGACCUGAGAGGGUGAUCGGAGAAAAUGGAAAUGAGAAACGGUACAGACUCAGACGGGAGGCAGAAGUAGGGAAUCUGCCGCAAUGGGCGAAAGCCUGACGGAGCAACGCCGCGUGAGUGAUGAAGGUCUUCGGAUCGUAAAACUCUGUUAGUAGGGAAGAACAAAUGUGUAAGUAACUAUGCACGUCUUGACGGUACCUAAUCAGAAAGCCACGGCUAACUACGUG